rnacentral:tRNA from 1 species
CAAGUUAAAGCUUUAAUAGCAUUUUAGUUACAUUAAAAAGAUAAUUGUUAAAUUCAAUUUAAUUUGA